AUGAACGCUGGCGGCGUGCCUAAUACAUGCAAGUCGAGCGAACAGACGAGGAGCUUGCUCCUCUGACGUUAGCGGCGGACGGGUGAGUAACACGUGGAUAACCUACCUAUAAGACUGGGAUAACUUCGGGAAACCGGAGCUAAUACCGGAUAAUAUAUUUAACCGCAUGGUUCAAUAGUGAAAGACGGUUUUGCUGUCACUUAUAGAUGGAUCCGCGCCGCAUUAGCUAGUUGGUAAGGUAACGGCUUACCAAGGCAACGAUGCGUAGCCGACCUGAGAGGGUGAUCGGCCACACUGGAACUGAGACACGGUCCAGACUCCUACGGGAGGCAGCAGUAGGGAAUCUUCCGCAAAGGGCGAAAGCCUGACGGAGCAACGCCGCGUGAGUGAUGAAGGUCUUCGGAUCGUAAAACUCUGUUAUUAGGGAAGAACAAAUGUGUAAGUAACUAUGCACGUCUUGACGGUACCUAAUCAGAAAGCCACGGCUAACUACGUG
rnacentral:rRNA from 1 species